GUUCGGAAGCUGAUGUAAGUCCAUCGAGUGGCGUUCUGGUUCCAUGUUUGCCUGUUUGUGUUUUGUGUUGUUUGGCGUGCGUGAGCCGAACUACGGAAGCUCUGAUUCUCGUUCCAGACGAGAUACGUAGGCAUAGGAUGCGAUGUCCUAGCGAGCCCUCUUCCUCUUCUCCCCACCUGUGUUGUCUUCAGUGUGUGUGUGUGUGAUGUUUGUUUUAGCAACCUUUUC
rnacentral:lncRNA from 1 species